rnacentral:rRNA from 1 species
UACGAAGGGUGCAACCGUUGCUCGGAAUUAUUGGGCGUAAAGCGCACGUAGGCGGCUUGGCAAGUCGGAUGUGAAAUCCCUCGGCUCAACCAAGGAAGUGCAUCCGAAACUGCCGAGCUUGAGUACUUAAGAGGAUCGCGGAAUUCCCGGUGUAGAGGUGAAAUUCGUAGAUAUCGGGAGGAACACCAGUGGCGAAGGCGGCGAUCUGGGAAGAUACUGACGCUGAGGUGCGAAAGCGUGGGGAGCAAACAGG